rnacentral:rRNA from 1 species
CCUACGGGGGGCUGCAGUAGGGAAUUUUCCACAAUGGACGAAAGUCUGAUGGAGCAACGCCGCGUGCAGGAUGAAGGCUUUCGGGUCGUAAACUGCUUUUAUAUGUGACGAUUAUGACGGUAGCAUAUGAAUAAGGAUCGGCUAACUCCGUGCCAGCAGCCGCGGUCAUACGGAGGAUCCAAGCGUUAUCCGGAAUUACUGGGCGUAAAGAGUUGCGUAGGUGGCAUAGUAAGCAGGUAGUGAAAGCGUUCGGCUCAACCGAAUACACAUUAUCU